CUUUGACCGGCCGCCCGCUCCUGCGGCGCCACAGUGGAGCGCCUUUCGGGGAAGAAGUUGAGCAAACCCACGUGACUUCCCGGCGGCGAUCGGGGCUGGUGCUCCCUGCAAAGUCUGCCAAAACAGCUCCCGUUUUGCAGGGAGCCGAGUUUCCCCAGCCGGGGCGCGAGCAGCGCGGCCGGUUUUCCCACACGCACGUCCCUCCGCGGGAGCCGCCGGCGAGGGGUGCGGGUGAGCCGUCCUCCGAUAAACGCAGAAAGCGGGGAUCGGGGAGCCUGGGCCUGAGGCGGCGCUGCCCCGUCCCCGCCGGGACUCGCCUGCGCGAUGCCGUCCCGGAGAGCCU
rnacentral:lncRNA from 1 species